rnacentral:rRNA from 1 species
UACGUAGGGUGCGAGCGUUGUUCGGAAUUACUGGGCGUAAAGCGCGCGUAGGCGGCUUUGUAAGUUAGAGGUGAAAGCCCGGGGCUCAACUCCGGAACUGCCUUUAAGACUGCAUCGCUUGAAUCCAGGAGAGGUGAGUGGAAUUCCGAGUGUAGAGGUGAAAUUCGUAGAUAUUCGGAAGAACACCAGUGGCGAAGGCGGCUCACUGGACUGGUAUUGACGCUGAGGUGCGAAAGCGUGGGGAGCAAACAGG